AAUCAUUUUCACGAGGUUUUUAAAAAUUAUUUUUUAUCUGCUGGUCUUGACUCACUAGCGAAAGCAAUCAGUGUCCCCGUUAGUGCCCAGAUCAAAAUCAUAC
ensembl:snoRNA